UGAUGGGCGGACUGAUCAGCCAUGCCGCGUGCAGGAUGACGGCCCUAUGGGUUGUAAACUGCUUUUAUACGGGAAGAAACGCGCCCACGUGUGGGCGUUUGACGGUACCGUAAGAAUAAGGACCGGCUAACUCCGUGCCAGCAGCCGCGGUAAUACGGAGGGUCCGAGCGUUAUCCGGAAUCAUUGGGUUUAAAGGGUCCGUAGGCGGGCCUGUAAGUCAGGGGUGAAAGUUUGUGGCUCAACCAUAAAAUUGCCUUUGAUACUGCAGGUCUUGAGUCAUGGUGGGGUUGCCGGAACAUGUGGUGUAGCGGUGAAAUGCAUAGAUAUCACAUAGAACACCGAUCGCGAAGGCAGGUGACCAACCAUGUACUGACGCUGAUGGACGAAAGCGUGGGUAGCGAACGGGAUUAGAUACCCCCGGUAGUCAA
rnacentral:rRNA from 1 species